GACGAACCGUGCGAACGUUAUUCGGAAUCACUGGGCUUAAAGGGCGCGUAGGCGGGCCGUAAAGUCAGGGGUGAAGUCCUCCAGCCCAACUGGAGAAGCGCCUUUGGUACUGUCGGCCUCGAGGGGUGCAGGGGCAUGCGGAACUCAGGGUGGAGCGGUGAAAUGCGUAGAUAUCCUGAGGAACACCGGUGGCGAAAGCGGCGUGCUGGACACCUUCUGACGCUGAGGCGCGAAAGCCAGGGGAGCGAACGGG
rnacentral:rRNA from 1 species